GGGCACGUGGCGGGUCCUGCUACUGGCCUCCGCCCGCGGAACUGUCCUGGUUCCGGCCUCACGGCAGCCGAGGGGCUGUGCGGAGGUCGGGGCCACUCAUGAGCCUCCGUUCCUGCCUGCGGGCUGAGGUGGGAACACAGAGCUGUGGGUUCGGCCUCUCUCUGUGGGUAGUGGGACUCAGAAUAAGAACAGGGUGAGAUGGUGCAGUGCAGUGUGUUCCCCAUUUGACCUAAAAGCUUGGGAAAACCCACAGCUCUUCAGUGGUGAAUGCAUGUAUUCUAGGAGGGAAGCAGGUCAGCUAUGCAGCGGUGUGGCCCUGUGCCCCAAUCCCAAGCUACAGCCACAGCCCUGCUCCUCACAAAGCCAAGUGCCCUCCUGGGCCGGCUGGUUUACUGAGUGUAACGUUUCUGUAUGAGGUUUCCUGUUUUGUGGUUGCCCAAUGCCUCUUCUUGAAGGAAUGAGUUGCCCGCGUCUACGCUGGUGACAAAGAAGUGGAGCUUCUGAGUCAGCUCUGUGCUUGGGGCUUCCAUUAUCUUCUGCUUCCUGCGUCGUUACAUCCUGGUGAGCCCAGGAAAGCACCAGCUCUGCGCUUCCCCGCUGACUCAGUGGAGCUUCUGUGUGCUGACUGGAGAAGUCACAUUAGGCCCUGCACACAUGGAGUGGUGUAGGAAGCUCUCUUUCCUGCAAGUUUGCAAAUCAGCUGCAAUGAGUCUGAAGAGCCUAGUGAUCCCAUUUCUGAGUCAGAGUCUCAACACAGUUUUUCAACACAAUUCUCAAUUAGCAGCACAAGGGAAAAAAAAGCAGUGAAGACAUUUCUUGGAGAGAACUGCAGAAGUUACUAGUUUCUUUUACCUUUCCCUUGUCAGCUGCCCUCAUUCUGAACCAAUGCUACGCUCAGCUGGCUCCUCAUGUUUUACAGAUGAACUGAAAUAAAGUGGAAUUUGUCCCACUGUGAAAUAAAGGAAGAGGAAAAAAUAACUGUCUGCAAGAUUUUUCAUGCAAGUCCCCCAUCCUCGGUUUUGCCCUCUUUUUGACAAAGAAAUUUGAUUGUCUUCCACUUAGACAUUCUAAGGCACCUUUCUGGUUUUCAUUCUUUUUUCUGAUCUAACACUGGGUUAGUCAGGAAACUGCCAACUUUGCCUCACAGUCAAAAUUAAACACCGCAAUUCAAACUGAGAGGACAUCAAUGGGCAGGAAAAAAAUGAGGUCUCAAAAUGGUGUUUUUUGUAAAUGUCACUUCUACAAGGUCUUGCACGAGGAUUUGAGUUAGGAAAGCAGUCAAUGAGUCUGCAAGAAAGGAGAAGGUCUUUCCAGGAGUCAGCCUAAAAAGAAAGAAAAAGAGUGGAAGAGAGAGUAAAAAGAGAAUGAACUGCAGAAACAUAACAAACUUAGGAAGCUGAGAGAAAUGAGCACCUGGAUCAUUUUGGAGACUGAGAAAAUACUGUGUGACAAGGCCUCAACACUUAUGUGGAGAUUUACAGCUGUUGUUUCCAAUAACUGCACAGUGAUUUCACCCACAAAUAAUAGUUUCUGCGGAGACAGCUAAACAUUGCUGGUAAGUGUGCCUUUUCCCAGGUUGCAGCAGCAAAACAGACUCAAAGCAGUUUGGGCUCAGUACAGGAAGCAGAAAACUGCUCACUUGGAAACCUUGUCUAGGCAGACCCUUCUUCUCUGGCAGUGAACAACAUCCACUUGGCAGCAGCAAGGAAAGCAAUGGGAUCUGACCAUCACUUGAAAAACUCUUUAGCUCUGGGUCUGCCCUGUGUUUCCAGCUGCAGAACUGCUCUCCCUAGAGAUGAGGGCAGCAAAACUGUGGCCUUUCUAUGGCUUACUCAGUGUCUGAGUACUCAGUGUUUUUGGUCUAAAACCAAGAUAUACCCAUGAAGGUGCUCAUCUGGUGCCAAGCCUCUAGUCCAGGCAGGGACCAGUCACACAUUGUUUUCCGUGGCCCCUGAGGACAAGCUUCCCAAAGCUCAUUGAGGAGCUACUUAGCUAAGACCUAUAUCUGUAUUUUUAGGAAAGUCUUUGAGAAUGAUCUUAACCUAAAUGCCCAUUUAAGCCUUAUUGAACCGUGGUGGAGGCGGAUUUACACAUGAGCUUAAAUAAUUUCCUGACUGCAAGCUGCAGCUCUAAGUUUUGUGUAUUGUUUCCAGUUUAGUGAUGAUAGCCCUCUCUCAGUAUAAGUAAUGUGUGAGUUACGCAGCACAGGGAGAAUGAAAUGAUAAAUUAUCACUUCUGAGAGAAUAGCCAGUUUGUUUGCUGUCUCCCUACCAGAUCCUUCCUAGUGCAGGUGCUCACUGUGGUUUCUCCUAUCAGCAAAAAAGCCUUCCUGAUUGCCCCAUGCAUAGCGCAGCCUGUCAGGAGCCACCAAAAUCCCAUAUCUGAGCACAAAGGUAUGGGGCAUUUUGAAGGUCUGACAGUUACUGAAAUCAGAAACUGCAGUUAAAAUGCAAGCCGCUUACAAAUGGAGGGUGGAAUAAUAACCACACAGCUUAAAUU